rnacentral:misc_RNA from 1 species
ACGAGCUGUGAGAGAGAACCUGAGAUCUGAAAAAAAAAAAUUCAAAGUGCAAUCUACACCAUGAGCAACGGAGAAGAAGAUGCAGCACGACGGCGUACUGUGGUGGCGGAUUAUCGCAAGAAGUUACUCCAGCACAAAGAGUUGGAGUCCAGAGUACGAGCUGUGAGAGAGAACCUGAGAUCUGCAAAGAAAGAAUUCAACAAGACAGAGGAUGAUUUGAAGUCCCUUCA